UUCUUCUGUGUAGCGGCAUUUAUGUUUCGAAAGUUCUCCGUUUAAUUCUCUGAUUUCACCUCUAUUUCGUGCAGAAAGACAACUUUUGGAUGGCCGUGCUGUUACGACCAUGAUCUGGUCCAUUAAUAAUUGACCAGAUGGACGGGUAAUGAUGUUACAGAGCAGGAGCUGCAAGAUUGGGGCAAGAGAUGGCGUGGUAACCAUGGACAGCGCCAAAGGGAGACGAAAGAAGGACAGAGUGAGGACAGUAGAUACAUCUACUACCAUUCUGGCAGCAGACUUACGCAAGGCCUGUUUCAAGAUCAGGGGCAUGGCUGUCACCGAGGUUGUCCAAGAGAGACCCAAUGCUAUAUUACUGUUGAAAAAGAAAAAGCGGUUUGGUUUGGCAUGGCUAAGUAUUGACCGACUAAGUGUUAAGAAGUUGUGACUUAUUUCUUGCCUGUUGUUUGAGAAACAGUAAUGCCAGUCAUUGGUCAUGUGACAGUGAAGGCUUAAUUGCCAACACAGGAACAAAAAUUUGAUGUCGGGCCAAUGACAACACAAAGUUGGCACCAUAUUGGAUUUACAGACCGACUGUACAAACUUGGCAACAGCAAAAUAAGCCAGUAACAGUGAGGACGAGUCUGUGAAAGGAUGCCUAGCCACAUAUCUUCAAGGUAGCUGCCUCUGCUAUGAUGAUAAUGAAAGGAUGAAUGCCAGCAGAAUGACUAAGUGACCGAAACUUUCAUGUGUAAUCGCCUUAACAAUUUAUGAUCACCCUAAUGGUUUUAGCCUUCUGUUUCAGCAUGGUUUUAAGAUUUGAGGACCGGGAUGUCACAGAGGUCUGGAAAAACUAUUGCUAAUUAGGACGCACUCGCAUCUGGAACACCUGCUGUGAAGGAGGGCUGGCCUGCAUGGUUUCAUGGAUUAGAUGAGAUGGAGAGAUACAACAUACAUGGUGAAACAUGUGUCCGUUACAUAAAGGUCUGUGUGUGUAUCCUGAAGAGGGAUUCAGUUGACUUUUGAAGGAGCAAAUAAU